AGAACGAACGCUGGCGGCAGGCCUAACACAUGCAAGUCGAGCGGACCUUUCGGGGUCAGCGGCGGACGGGUGAGUAACGCGUGGGAAUAUGCCCUUCUCUACGGAAUAGUCCUGGGAAACUGGGGGUAAUACCGUAUACGCCCUUUGGGGGAAAGAUUUAUCGGGGAAGGAUUAGCCCGCGUUGGAUUAGGUAGUUGGUGGGGUAAUGGCCUACCAAGCCGACGAUCCAUAGCUGGUUUGAGAGGAUGAUCAGCCACACUGGGACUGAGACACGGCCCAGACUCCUACGGGAGGCAGCAGUGGGGAAUCUUAGACAAUGGGGGCAACCCUGAUCUAGCCAUGCCGCGUGAGUGAUGAAGGCCUUAGGGUUGUAAAGCUCUUUCAGCUGGGAAGAUAAUGACGGUACCAGCAGAAGAAGCCCCGGCUAACUCCGCGCCAGCAGCCGC
rnacentral:rRNA from 1 species